UUAAUAUAAGAUAUUGCUCUGCUUUACAAUUUUCAAGUUGCGUCUAUCAGCAUUUAGCGGAAGAAAUAUCACAAAAAAUGAUCUUGCUUAGUAAUUUUGAAUGUAGUGAAUAUGUAUAUAUUCCUCUUAUUCACAAUUAGAUGGAUUUCAAUAGCUCGUUUAUAUCGAUUGGAUGUGAGCAAACCACUAAAUCAAAUUUUGACGACUUAAGUAGCAAACUGGAUAGUCUGGAUAAGAAGGUAGACGAUUUGUUAAAAGAAUAUCAUACAACUCAAAAGCUUCUGAAGAGAGUAUUGGAAGAAGUUAAAUCGACCUCACAUAAUGCUACAAAAAAAAAUAAAUAAAAUUUUGCUACAAAAACCUUUUGCAGAAGCACAUGAUUUCGCUACUUUUGAAGGCAAAAUUCAAUCUUCCGAAACAAAAUUUAACGAUUUGGUGGCUGAAUUGCAAAUGAUAAUAGCAUCCAGUUCGAACAAAUUUGUUAAAAUGGCUUGGCGAAAAGUUUUUACGGACGAUGUUGCCCAGAUAUAUUCCUGGAAAGGCACGAAGACGAAAAAACCGGCAAGAGCACUUAGUGUGACGGCAGCAUUAAGGCAGGCAUACCAUCAAAAAUUCCCUACCGCUGCCACGGAUAUGGAAUUCGAGCGGACUACAUUGAAUUUUUUUCCAACACGCCAGCAACAGAAUAAAAAAAAAAUUUAAUACGAAAACAAAAAGAAUAUGUCAUCGGUAAUCGUAGAUUAAUUAGUUCUUAUAUUAUUGCGCGACAAUUUUAAGUUUA